rnacentral:rRNA from 1 species
CCUACGGGUGGCAGCAGUGGGGAAUAUUGGACAAUGGGGGCAACCCUGAUCCAGCCAUGCCGCGUGUGUGAAGAAGGCCCUCGGGUUGUAAAGCACUUUCAGUGAGGAAGAACGCCUGGUGGUUAAUACCCAUCAGGAAAGACAUCACUCACAGAAGAAGCACCGGCUAUCUCCGUGCCAGCAGCCGCGGUAAUACGGAGGGUGCGAGCGUUAAUCGGAAUUACUGGGCGUAAAGCGCGCGUAGGUGGCUUGAUAAGCCGGUUGUGAAAGCCCCGGGCUCAACCUGGGAACGGCAUCCGGAACUGUCAAGCUAGAGUGCAGGAGAGGAAGGUAGAAUUCCCGGUGUAGCGGUGAAAUGCGUAGAGAUCGGGAGGAAUACCAGUGGCGAAGGCGGCCUUCUGGACUGACACUGACACUGAGGUGCGAAAGCGUGGGUAGCAAACAGGAUUAGAUACCCCAGUAGUC